GAUGAACGCUGGCGGCGUGCUUAACACAUGCAAGUCGAACGGAAAGGCUCCUGCUUGCAGGGGUACUCGAGUGGCGAACGGGUGAGUAACACGUGGGUGAUCUGCCCUGCACUUCGGGAUAAGCCUGGGAAACUGGGUCUAAUACCGGAUAGGACGAUGGCUUGGAUGCCAUUGUGGAAAGUUUUUCGGUGUGGGAUGAGCUCGCGGCCUAUCAGCUUGUUGGUGGGGUAAUGGCCUACCAAGGCGUCGACGGGUAGCCGGCCUGAGAGGGUGUACGGACACAUUGGGACUGAGAUGCGACCCAGACUCCUACGGGAGGCAGCAGUGGGGAAUGUUGCACAAUGGGCGCAAGCCUGAUGCAGCGACGCCGCGUGGUGGAUGACGGCCUUCUGGUUGUAAACUCCUUUCGCUGGGGACGAAGCGCGAGUGACGGUACCUGGAGAAGAAGCACCGGGUAACUACGUG
rnacentral:rRNA from 1 species